GAUGAACGCUGGCGGCGUGCUUAACACAUGCAAGUCGAGCGAAGCACUUAAGUUUGAUUCUUCGGAUGAAGACUUUUGUGACUGAGCGGCGGACGGGUGAGUAACGCGUGGGUAACCUGCCUCAUACAGGGGGAUAACAGUUAGAAAUGGCUGCUAAUACCGCAUAAGACCACAGUACUGCAUGGUACAGUGGUAAAAACUCCGGUGGUAUGAGAUGGACCCGCGUCUGAUUAGGUAGUUGGUGAGGUAACGGCCCACCAAGCCGACGAUCAGUAGCCGACCUGAGAGGGUGACCGGCCACAUUGGGACUGAGACACGGCCCAGACUCCUACGGGAGGCAGCAGUGGGGAAUAUUGCACAAUGGGCGAAAGCCUGAUGCAGCGACGCCGCGUGAAGGAUGAAGUAUUUCGGUAUGUAAACUUCUAUCAGCAGGGAAGAAAAUGACGGUACCUGACUAAGAAGCCCCGGCUAACUACGUGCCAGCAGCCGCGGUAAUACGUAGGGGGCAAGCGUUAUCCGGAUUUACUGGGUGUAAAGGGAGCGUAGACGGCUGUGCAAGUCUGAAGUGAAAGGCAUGGGCUCAACCUGUGGACUGCUUUGGAAACUGUGCAGCUAGAGUGUCGG
rnacentral:rRNA from 1 species